rnacentral:rRNA from 1 species
GAUGAAUGCUGGCGGCGUGCCUAACACAUGCAAGUCGAGCGGCAGCGAGUUUUACACUGAAUUCUGGAAGCUUCUGGGUAAUAUAGAAGAUCUAUUCAAGAAUUUUGUGUAAAAUGUCGGCGAGCGGCGGACGGCUGAGUAACGCGUAGGAAUUUGCCCCAAAGUGAGGAAUAACUGCCCGAAAGGGUAGCUAAUGCCGCAUACGGUCUUCGGAUUAAAGCCUUCGGGCGCUUUGGGAGAAGCCUGCGUUGGAUUAGGUAGUUGGUAGGGUAAUGGCCUACCAAGCCGACGAUCCAUAGCUGGUCUGAGAGGAUGAUCAGCCAGACUGGAACUGAGACACAGUCCAGACUCCUACGGGAGGCAGCAGUGAGGAAUCUUCCACAAUGGGCGAAAGCCUGAUGGAGCAACGCCGCGUGAAGGAUGAAGGCCUUCGGGUUGUAAACUUCUUUUAUGAGUGAAGAAUAUGACGGUAACUCAUGAAUAAGCACCGGCUAACUACGUGCCAGCAGCCGCGGUCAUACGUAGGGUGCAAGCAUUAUCCGGAGUGACUGGGCGUAAAGAGUUGCGUAGGCGGUUUAAUAAGUGAAUAGUGAAACCUGGUGGCUCAACCAUACAGACUAUUAUUCAAACUGUUAAACUCGAGAAUGGUAGAGGUAACUGGAAUUUCUAGUGUAGGAGUGAAAUCCGUAGAUAUUAGAAGGAACACCGAUGGCGUAGGCAGGUUACUGGGCCAUUUCUGACGCUAAGGCACGAAAGCGUGGGGAGCGAACCGG